rnacentral:rRNA from 1 species
UGCACUCGACACAUGCCCUUCGAACGUUAAAACGCGGGCCGACCCUGCAAGCUAAACGUGGCGAGACGGGCUGACUAAAUACAUCCGUACACGUGUCCUACUAUGUGGGGGAUACCCUAUCGAAUGCUUAUAGCUAAUACCGCAUACGAUCUGCGGACUGAACGCGGGGGAUACCUCCCUAAAAGCUUGAGGCAUAGUACAAUCAUACGCUAUCCGAUGACUAUAUGGUGCUGCACCUCCCGUGAUUGGACCGGCUGAUGUCUGAUUAGCUAAUCCGUGAGGUAAUGGCUUACCAAUGCGACCAUCAAUAACUGGUCUGAAAGGAC